rnacentral:lncRNA from 1 species
UGGAAAUGCUGGGCCCUUCGAGGUUAGCUUAAACUGAAGAGAGGAACUUGGUUAGAAUACAGACAUCUCUGAUGCUGUGUCCCGGAUGUUGAGCUUCCAGCUCUGAUGGCACAUUCUGUCAACUCAGCUCUGUUUUGAGUGGAACUGAACACUCAGUGAUGGCUAAAAACAGCAGUUGACUAAACUAAUUAAGCUACAUGUAGACAGUGACGGAGGCGGAAAGAUAGGCCGAGACAGGCCCUUUGGAAAUUAUCCUGAGCAUUCUUUUUUUUACAGAAGAACAGUAAAACAGACUUGUUAUUGGCAGCCCAUUAGUGCUCAGGAGAGGCGGUCUCCAGCAUGACAUCAGCCAGCGGCUCGACCCAAAUCUAGUAUUUCACCAGAGAGCCUAACGCUGCUGGCUUUCCAACUGUGUGGAAGACAAAAUAACGAACAGCUAUUACAUAUCUGGACUCGGUCUGCGCAAACCACUUCAAGCCACAGCAAAGGAGGCGGCCUUCCAGCCUUGAGCCUGUAGAAGGUUCAUGAAUGGAAACCUGGAUGGAUGUGUUGUGGUCUUGGCCGCUCCACUUCUGCCCGCAGCCCAGGAGGGGGGCCCUGUGUCUCCUGCUCAGGCCUGCACAGGAUACAGGCGUAACAAAGACAAGGAUGAAAUAAGUCCUGUGAUGGAGAGACAAGCAAAAUUCUACCUGACUUCACAGGAGGAAGAAGUGUGCUGUGCCAGGGGGAACAGGAGAAAGCUUCAUGGAAGAGGUCACAGGAAAUGGGUAGCUAUCCAGCUAAAUAGAUUUCAUGCUUGACUUCAGUGGAAUAGCUCAAAUGAUGAUCUGUUUGGGAGAGUAAAUUAAAGAGUUUCCAUCCGAGGUUGGUUGAAUCCACAGAUACGGAACCCACAGAUAUAGAGGGCCAACCAUACUGAGUCCUGACCUCACCCAUUCCUUCUACCCCCAUCUCUCCUAAUCCUUAAACUUCCUUGCAAUUCCUGGAGCAGAAUACUCGUGAAGGAGUCAGGGGUUGUCUUCCCUUCCUAGAAGCAAUGCUUCUAUGUUCUCAUUUGAUGUUGAAUAAAACAUUAAACAGAAAAGCUUUGAUAACA